CGGGGAAUCAGGGUUCGAUUCCGGAGAGGGAGCCUUAGAAAUGGCUACCACAUCUAAGGAAGGCAGCAGGCGCGCAAAUUACCCACUCUCAGCUAGAGGAGGUAGUGACGAAAAAUAACGAUGCGGGACUCCUAUGAGGCUCCGCAAUUGGAAUGAGUACAAUUUAAAUCCUUUAACGAGGAACAAUUGGAGGGCAAGUCUGGUGCCAGCAGCCGCGGUAACUCCAGCUCCAAUAGCGUAUAUUAAAGUUGCUGCAGUUAAAAAGCUCGUAGUUGGAUCUCAGGUACGGAGCUAGUGGUUGGCUUUAGCCGAACCAUUAGUUUCCGCCUCACUAGCUGUAUGUUAUCUUGUGUGCUCUUCACUGUGUGCACAAGAUACUCAGCACGUUUACUUUGAAAAAAUUAGAGUGCUCAAAGCAGGCCUUGUGCUUGAAUACUGUUGCAUGGAAUAAUGGAAUAGGACUUCGGUUCUAUUUUGUUGGUUUUCGGAAUCGAAGUAAUGAUUAAAAGAGACAGACGGGGGCAUCUGUAUGGUGGUGUUAGAGGUGAAAUUCGAUGAUCGCCGCCAGACAAACAACUGCGAAAGCAUUUGCCAAGGAUGUUUUCAUUAAUCAAGAACGAAAGUCAGAGGUUCGAAGACGAUCAGAUACCGUCCUAGUUCUGACCAUAAACGAUGCCAACUGACAAUCGGAGUUUAUUAUUAUUUUUCACUCCGGCAGUCCCUGGGAAACCUUUAAGUCUAUCGGUUCUGGGGGGAGUAUGGUUGCAAAUCCGAAACUUAAAGGAAUUGACGGAAGGGCACCACCAGGUGUGGAGCCUGCGGCUUAAUUUGACCCAACACGGGAAAACUCACCCGGCCCGGACACUGUGAGGAUUGACAGAUUGAUAGCUCUUUCUUGAUUCAGUGGGUGGUGGUGCAUGGCCGUUCUUAGUUGGUGGAGUGAUUUGUCUGGUUAAUUCCGAUAACGAACGAGACUCUAGCCUGCUAAAUAGUCACCACGUAAUAAUUGCGUGGACUGACUUCUUAGAGGGAUUCGCUACGUUUAGUGGCACGAAAUUGAGCAAUAACAGGUCUGUGAUGCCCUUAGAUGUUCGGGGCCGCACGUGCGCUACACUGACGAUAUCAAUGAGUGUCUUCCUAAGCCGAGAGGUUUGGGAAAUCUUAUGAAUUAUCGUCAUGUCAGGGAUUGGGGCUUGUAAUUUUUCCCCAUGAACGAGGAAUACCGAGUAAGCGCAAGUCAUAAGCUUGCGCUGAUUACGUCCCUGCCCUUUGUACACACCGCCCGUCGCUACUACCGAUUGAAUGGUUUAGUGAGGCAUUUGGAUCGAGAUUAAUGAAGUGGUUUUCCAUUUUGUUGAUUUUGAGAAAAUUGUCAAACUUGAUCAUUUAGAGGAAGUAAAAGUCGUAACAAGGUU
rnacentral:rRNA from 1 species